GCUCGCCUAGCUCAGUUGGUUAGAGCGUCGUACUAAUACCUGGCGAACACCGUCAAUCAUUGGUAAUGCGAAGGUCGUAGGUUCAAUCCCUGCGGUGAGCA
rfam:Isaria fumosorosea ARSEF 2679 scaffold_6, whole genome shotgun sequence.